UGUAACCAUAGAGACGUUACAUCAUGAUGGAACAUUUCUCCACGUUCCAUGUUCCAUGUUCAUAACACAGUCUGUUGCACAUCCAGUCAGUCAGUUUCAAACCUCGCAUCUACACACUGAAGUUUUCCGGACCUACACUUGCAGAAAGCAACCAUGUAAUGCCUCAGGAGUCUGUGGAGGGGACGAAGACGCGUUCUGCUGCACUUAACAGAGCUCAAGACCAACGGGACGCCAUCAGACGCCACGUCAACCCCUCAGGAGCAAAUCCAGAUCUACGCAUGACAUACACUUAGAUACACUUUAUUAGAUGUACACAAAGACAUAACAAUUAGAUGUACACACAGACACUAACAAUUAGAUCCACACACAGACACACUAACAAUUAGAUGUACACACAGACACACUAACAUUUGGUUCUAAACAAAGACACACACUAACAUUUAGAUGUACACAAAGACACAUUAAUAUUUAGAUGUACACACAGACACACUAACAAUUAGAUCUACACACAGACACACUAACAAUUAGAUGUACACACGGACACACUAACAAUUAGAUCUACACACAGACACACUAACAAUUAGAUGUACACACUGACACGUGCUGAUGACCAUCCUCACGUCUCUUCUCCUUGUCUGCAGACCAACAGGACGCCAUCAGGACGCCACGUCAUCAGGACACCAUCAGGACGCCACGUCAUCGGGACGCCAUCAGGAUUCCAUCAGGACGCCAUCAGGACGCCGCGUCAACCCCUCAGGAGCAAAUCCAGAUCUACUCAUGACACACACACACACACACACACACACACACACACACAGAUGUACUCAGAGACACACUAACAUUUAGACACGCUGGCAAAUUUAGAUGUACAAUUAGAUGUACACACAGACACACUAUCAUUUGGUUCUAAACAAAGACACACACUAAUAUUUAGAUGUACACAAAGACACAAUAACAAUUAGAUGUACACACAGACACACUAUCAUUUGGUUCUAAACAAUGACACACACUAAUAUUUAGAUGUACACAAAGACAUAUUAAUAUUUAGAUGUACACACAGACACACUACCAUUUGGUUCUAAACAAAGACACUAAUAUUUAAAUGUGCACAAAGACAUAUUAAUAUUUAGAUGUACACACAGACACACUAACAUUUAGAUGUACACACAGACACACUAACAUUUAGAUGUACACACAGACACACUAACAAUUAGAUGUACACACAGACACACUCAUUUGGUUCUAAACAAAGACACACACUAAUAUUUAGAUGUACACAAAGACACAAUAACAAUUAGAUGUACACACACACUAACAUUUAGAUGUACACAAAGACACAUUAAUAUUUAGAUGUACACACAGACACACUAACAAUUAGAUGUACACACAGACACACUAACAUUUGGUUCUAAACAAAGACACACACUAAUAUUUAGAUGUACACAAAGACAAUAACAAUUAGAUGUACGCACAGACACACUAACAAUUAGAUCCACACACAGACACACUAACAAUUAGAUGUACACACAGACACACUAACAUUUGGUUCUAAACAAAGACACACACUAAUAUUUAGAUGUACACAAAGACAAUAACAAUUAGAUCCACACACAGACACACUAACAAUUAGAUGUACACACAGACACACUAACAUUUGGUUCUAAACAAAGACACACACUAACAUUUAGAUCUACACACAGACACACUAACAAUUAGAUGUACACACAGACACAUCCUGAUGAUCCUCCUCACGUCUCUUCUCCUUGUCUGCAGACCAACAGGACGCCAUCAGGACGCCACGUCAUCGGGACGCCAUCAGGACACCACGUCAUCGGGAUGCCAUCAGGACACCACGUCAUCGGGACGUCAUCGGGACGCCAUCAGGACGCCUAACAAUUAGAUGUACACACAGACACACUAUCAUUUGGUUCUAAACAAUGACACACACUAAUAUUUAGAUGUACACAAAGACACAAUAACAAUUAGAUGUACACACAGACACACUAUCAUUUGGUUCUAAACAAUGACACACUAAUAUUUAGAUGUACACAAAGACACAAUAACAAUUAGAUAUACACACAGACACACUAUCAUUUGGUUCUAAACAAAGACACACACUAAUAUUUAGAUGUACACAAAGACACAAUAACAAUUAGAUGUACACACGGACACAUCCUGAUGAUCCUCCUCACGUCUCUUCUCCUUGUCUGCAGACCAACAGGACGCCAUCAGGACGCCACGUCAUCGGGACACACUAACAUUUAGAUGUACACACAGACACACUAACAUUUGGUACUAAACAAAGACACACACUAAUAUUUAGAUGUACACAAAGACAUAAUAAUAUUUAGAUGUACACACAGACACACUAACAUUUAGAUGUACACACAGACACACUAACAAUUAGAUGUACACACAGACACACUAACAACAUUAACAUGUUAAUAACUUUUCUUCUUUUCUCUCUUCUCAGGAACUGCUUCAGAUGUUUUCCCAAUGAUUGUGUUAUUAUUAUUGUUAAAUAUGUCGUCUGUUUAUUAUUUUAAUGAAAAUAAAUUUUAAUAGAAAUAAAACCAAA
ensembl:lncRNA